rnacentral:misc_RNA from 1 species
UUUUUUUUUUUUUGGUAAAAUUGAUUCACAUGGCCUAUUUAAUGGGAGUAUGCUUACAAGAGAUAUGCAUGCUGGAGUUGUUUUUUUUUCCCCCCCUUCUCGGAGUUCUCUCUCCCUAUAUUUUGUUUCAUAACUAAAACGUAUUUCUGAUUCUGACAAGAACUUUGGACUUAGGCUUGUUCAGAAUGUUGUUUCAUUCCUUGUUCAAUUUAUAGUUUCUAUGGUAAUGGUAACCACAUUAAUGUUAGGAUUAUAAAUGGAUAUUUACUAAGUGUAUCUUGCUUUAUUCUCAGUUUGGUGUGUUUAUACAAAAUAAUUGUACUAAAUUUCCAACUUAACGGGUUUUUGACCUCUUAGACUAGAUAAGCAGGGGAGGGGGGUUUGUUAAUGAGAUAGGGAAUGGAUACCCCAAUUAUGGUAGGUCAACUGCCACUUAUUUAACUGUGUUUGUAGUGUUUCCACUUUCUACCCCACUUUAUUGGGUAAUUUGGAAAUCCAUGUGGUGUCUGCUUUGGGCCAUGAAUUAUGGUCAUUCCUUAUCUAGUAGUUUUGGUUCGGCAGACAUCUUACAGCCAUCCCACUCCAUCUUGAUCUAACAUUCUCCAUCUCAAUAUAACCAUUUUGGAUAAUAAGAUUAUAUGAUAUCAUCUUUAAUCCCUAGGUGCAUGGUUGUUGGCCUUAAUGUGUUUCACCAAAUCACCUCACCUUGGCCAACGUAGAAUCGAGUUCCUACUGCAUUUGCAUAAUAUUUUUAGGAUUAUUUACAAAAAAAUGCUUGAGUGAGUAAAGAACUUGUAAUAGAGAAUGAAAAAUGAAGAAGAGAGAAUUCACUUGUAUUUACUGCAAUUGGUAAUUACAAAUCAGUAUCCAAACAGAAAAUACAUUAGCCAAACAGAAAGAAACACUAGGGAAUUCAUCCUCUAGCCCAAGCAAGAAUGCUCGCACACUUUAAUAACGAACUUCUCUGCGCUCCCCCUUUAUUCUAAUACUCUAUUUAUAAUAUCUCAUGCUACUGCCAGCUCAUUCAAUUGCCGUUACUCAUUUCCCUUUGCUGCCUCUGAAUUCUUUUAUAAUCUUCUGCAUUAGAGUCUUCUAGAUUCCCUUCAUCUUUGUUGCCCUUUUUUACUGCUCUCUUUGUAUACACUCGCUAGGGUCCAGGCCCAUUAGACUUGCUCUCUGUAUUCUCUUGCAUAACAUUGAGUUUUUACAUAAAACUGGUUGAGUUUUCCUAUAACAUACACGUUGAUUCUUCUUGUUUCAAAAUUAGCAAUUUUAGUCCUUGAGGUUUGUUAGUGACGCAACACUUUAAUCCUUGAUUAUAAAUUAUGAUUUUUUCACUCAACUUACAUCCAUUGCAUUAUGCUAUGGUCCUUAAGUAUUAAAUUUUAGUUGCACUUUAGUCCAACACUUGAUUGCCUUGAAAUCUUGUACUUUUAACUGAUCGUAGUAUAUGGACUAGGAAGUGCCAAUUUUGAAUUAUGGGGAUCAAAGUGCAUUUUAAUGCCAACCUUGGAGGUUUUUUGUAAUUAACCCAUAUUUUUAAGUAAGAAUUUUAGUCUAAGUUGGUGCAUGACAUGGUUUAGUUGAAUGUGGAUCGUAAAUAUACUCUUCUAGUAUUUGCUUCCUGAAUGUAAAAUUAUUACACGUGUUGAGCAUCUAUGUGUAAUGCAUUGCAUAUUCUUUAUCUAGUUUUGAUUGGCUAAUGAGUUUCAUUUUUUAUUAGUUGUAUAUCAUGCAAGAAAUGUCUGAUUUAUGUCAAUGAAUUAAAAUUUUCUUUUUUAGUUUCAAUAUGUAGCAUCCUCCUAUGCUUAUCUUGAUAAAGUUGCUUGAAUUUUCAGGAGAAGGUACAGGCUUGCUACGCCUUCAUAGUACAUAUCGACAUGAUCUUAAAAUUUACAGCUCUGAUGAGGGCCGUGUGCAGAUGUCAGCAGCUGCAUUUGCUAAAGGCCUCCUUGAUUUGGAAGGACAACUAACGCCAAUCCUGGUCUCCCUCGUUAGCAAGGAUUCCUCGAUGUUGGAUGGACUUGACAAUGCCAGCAUUGAAAUGGAAGAAGCC